GACGAACGCUGGCGGCGUGCUUAACACAUGCAAGUCGAACGGAAAGGCCCUGCUUUUGUGGGGUGCUCGAGUGGCGAACGGGUGAGUAACACGUGAGUAACCUGCCCUUGACUUUGGGAUAACUUCAGGAAACUGGGGCUAAUACCGGAUAGGAGCUCCUGCUGCAUGGUGGGGGUUGGACAGUUUCGGCGGUUGGGGAUGGACUCGCGGCUUAUCAGCUUGUUGGUGGGGUAGUGGCUUACCAAGGCUUUGACGGGUAGCCGGCCUGAGAGGGUGACCGGCCACAUUGGGACUGAGGUACGGCCCAGACUCCUACGGGAGGCAGCAGUGGGGAAUAUGGCACAAUGGGCGGGAGCCUGAUGCAGCAACGCCGCGUGCGGGAUGACGGCCUUCGGGUUGUAAACCGCUUUCGCCUGUGACGAAGCGUGAGUGACGGUAAUGGGUAAAGAAGCACCGGCUAACUACGUG
rnacentral:rRNA from 1 species